rnacentral:rRNA from 1 species
UGGGGAAUAUUGCGCAAUGGGGGAAACCCUGACGCAGCAACGCCGCGUGAUUGAAGAAGGUCUUCGGAUUGUAAAAAUCUUUUAUCAAGGACGAAGAAGUGACGGUACUUGAUGAAUAAGCUCCGGCUAACUACGUGCCAGCAGCCGCGGUAAUACGUAGGGAGCAAGCGUUAUCCGGAUUUACUGGGUGUAAAGGGCGAGUAGGCGGAUUGGCAAGUUGGGAGUGAAAUGUCGGGGCUUAACCCCGGAACUGCUUCCAAAACUGUUGAUCUUGAGUGAUGGAGAGGCAGGCGGAAUUCCCAGUGUAGCGGUGAAAUGCA